CUGAAUAUUAAUUUGGGGGAAGACUGGUGGAGUUCAGGCCUGAGGUGCUGAGAAACAGUGUCUGUGGGGACAGUGUUUGCAGGAAAAGAUGGAGGAGGACAGGAGAUGCUGUGUUUAUCUCAUAUUCAGCAGAAGUAGAAAAAGAUUUAUCAUCCAUAUAAACUGUGACAUGGAGUGCAUGAAUUCAGAACAAAACAACUUUAUCUACCCCCGAAUACUAAAGAGUUCAAUUUCAUGCUGUUUUACAUGGCACAGCAGGAGUGGAUUGUUUAAUAUCUCUAACUCUGAACUUCCACAACCUUUCUAUCAGAUAUUCAGUUCAGGCUGGCAGCAUUUCUGCUGGUAUAAAAGUCUCAAAAUCCUUGUCAGUCUUCUGUGUAGUUCAUGGACAUCCAAGCAUCAAGCAAGACAGUCCUGCACAGCUCUCUCCUGGAUAACCACAUUCUCUCUUCCUGGCUUCUGCUGACAUGGUUGAUUGGAUCCACGAGUCACAUACUUCAUCUGUUUAGCAAGUUUGUCCAGCAGUACCAUCCUCCAGUCUCGGAGCACACUC
ensembl:lncRNA novel transcript